GUUGUCGAUGUGCCUUGUAUAAUGGGGGAAAUAAUUUCGGAUUGUGGCAAUCAUGAACUCAGCCUUACUGAUCUCCUCGGUUGUGUAGAGGAUACCCCCAAUUCCACUAGGACUUUGGGUUUUCCACCUCGCGUUAGCGUUUUCGGUGCACUGUCCCCUGUCAUUCCUUCGUCUUCUGCAUGAGGUAAGUCAUCACAGCUUGUGCAGGGAACCUCUUCUUCUGAUAAGCCUUCAUGUCCUUCAAUUUGUUUUUGUCUCCGACUGUGCUGUUGCCCUUCAUUCUUCCCGAGCUUCUUCGUUGUGGUUGACACUCUCGCAGAAUCUGGAGAGGCAGGUGGGUUUGACUCAGUUUCAACGUUCUCCUUCGAACCACACGACAACUCACCGUUUUCUUCAUGGGUUUUUCCUUCCUCUAAAACCAAUUCGGGACCN
rnacentral:lncRNA from 1 species